AUGGGUAGAUGGAAACAUUGGUUUGUUGUCCUUCUGCCUCUAAUUAUUUAUAUCGGCAGCACAGCAACUGUUGUGAAUGUUGUGAAAACCAUUGGGAGCAAACCAGAUGUGACUUCAAUCUGCACCAAUGACACACUGCGUACCAUCACGCUUAUAGUUUGUAAGAUCAGAACACAGAUGGGGGGAGAAGAGUGUCGUCUGCUGUAUCGACAUGGAAAGGACUUUGAGCACGACUGUGACUCCAGGUUCACACUUAUGAUGGAUAAUCAGACUGUGUUCCUCCACCUGACCAGUUUAACAGCAGAGGAUAGUGGGAACUACAUUUGUGAUUGUUCGCGUCUUGAUGGAACGUACAGUCUUCAUCUGAAUAUCACUGUGGAAGGUAAAUGUUUGAUUCAUUUUCAUGUCUAUUUUAGUGUGUUUCUUUUAUAUUUAUAGCUUAAAGAUCCAGUGUGUAACAUUUAGGAGGAUCUAAAGACAUUGAAUAUAAUAUUCAUGUAUGUUUUCAUUAAUAAUCACCUGAAUUUAGAUUUUAGAAUGAGUCGUUUUUAAUCUAAAGAGGGAACAAGUCCUCCUCCAGUCUACCAUGUUGCACCACCAUGUUUCUACAGACACUCAGACAAACCAAACACUGGCUGUAGUUCGGUCUUUCGCAGGUUCCGCAGCCACCAUAGUUGCUCCUUUGCGGUUGAUUGAGGCGAGCAGUUUCAGUUGGUUACAAUCUACAAUUUCCCUGCGAGAUACCACUAAAUCUUACACGCUGGUCCUUUCAUGUGUGUAGAUGUAAAAAUGCAGAUGACACAAAUCAGGUGAGAUUGCGUAGAGCAGAUAUAAAACAUGUGAGCGUGUGAAUUAUGUUUGAUUUGCAGAUGAUGUCAGUAACAUAAUAUUACAUUAUACACUGAACAGGAAAGAGUGGAAUCAUAUUGUUUUGUUAAAGNNNNNNNNNNNNNNNNNNNNNNNNNNNNNNNNNNNNNNNNNNNNNNNNNNNNNNNNNNNNAAUGUAUAUUAUUACUGUGGUAAAGGAAGCUUUAACUAAAUGAGGGUGUUGUUGACAGAAAUGUAACUGUCUGAAAUCUUGGUGUUUUAUAUCUUGAAAAUGUAUUUUAAUAAAAUAUUAACUUUCUAAAUCUGUUAGUAACAAACAGUUCCUAUAUAUAGCACAGAGACAACAUUACUGAGAGUGUAUAAUGACAUCUUUAUGCAUGCUGACAAUAGUUAAAGCUCCAUCCUUAUUCUUAUUGAUCUGACUGCGGCCUUUGAUACCAUCGAUCCAUUUCACUUGAUAGAUUACAGAACUGGGUUGUUGUUUCUGGUACAGCCUUAGACUGGUUUCAUUCCUAUUUGACUAAUAGAUUCUUUAAUGUCUGCAUUAAUAAUCACGUUUCCUCCUCAUCUGUUCCCCUGCUGUGUGGAGUCCCUCAGGGGUCGGUUCUUGGUCCAGCUCUGUUCUCCCUGUACAUGCUUCCUCUGGGUCAUUUGUUCAGCCGCUUCCAAGACAUGUCAUACCAAUGUUAUGCUGGUGAUACACAGAUCUGCUUCUCUCUGAAACAAAAUCACCUGAAUCAACUGUCUUCUCUCCAUGAGUGUUUAGCUGCCACCAAAGACUGGAUGUCUCUUAAUUUUCUCCACCUAAAACAAAACUGAUAUCAUUUUAUUUGGCCCUGAGAACUUUGUCACUGCAGUUGAUCAGUUUAUUGGACCACUACACUCAAAUAUCAAACCCACUGCUAAGAAUCUGGGUAUCAUCUUCGACCAGUAUAUGACAUUUGACCUUCAUGUUACAAAAACUUGUCCAGUCCUGUUUCCUGCAGCUACGAAAUGUAGCAAAAUUCAGAAGUUUCUUGUCCUCCAGUGAUCUUGAACUAUUAAUUCACAGCUUUAUUUUCUCCUGUCUAGAUUACUGUAACUCCCUCCACACGUGCCUCAGUCAAGCUUCCUUUAAUCUUUUACAGUUAGUACAAAAUGCAGCUGUUAGACUUUUAACCAGAACCAGCCGUCGGUCCCACAUUACUCCUGUUCUCUCAUCCCUUCAUUGGCUUCCUGUGAAAUUCUGCCCCCAGUUACAUCCUCCCUAUGUAUGUUUGAUUGGGUAUGGUUAUGCAUGUACAUAUUUAUAUGUAUAUAUGCAUAUAUAUAGACCCAUAUGUAUAUUGUUGUUUGAAAAGCACUUUUGUACCGUGUUUAAAAAAGUGCUAUACAAUUAAAACUUUACUUACUUACUCACCUGUCAGGUAUAAAUAUAACGUUUUAUUCAUUUAUUAUGAUUUUACUUUGGCAAACAGAAAGAUUUUAACCACCAAAAGUGACAAAUCCUCAUUUGUCACUUUUCGAAAACAGCAAAAAAAAGGAGAACUUGAAACGAAAGUAAAUUGUGAGAUGGAACCUAUUUACUGUCAAUGGUUGAAUGUUGAAAGAGUUGGAGUGUGGACGGUACCACUGUAGGGGGGACAGCUAGACUUAACGCGCUGUUAAUUUAGUAUAUAAAAUAUUUUAUAGUAAUUGACUAAAUCAGCAGUUUACUGAUCAUUCCUUUGUAUUCUGUUGUUUUUAUUAUUUAUAAUAUUGUAUUUAUAAGGGUCAUAUUUUACAUAUUUGCCUUGACACUUCCCCCUCAGAGAUGAUACCAUAUAGUCUGCUGUACAUUUAUACAUAUUACAGUCUGUCAUAUUUAGUUUAUCUUAAGGUAUCGACACACAUACAGCUACAUCAUGGCAGACUGCGUCGUCCUCUGUCUCCUUUUGGUGUUGAACUUUCAGACAGGUAGGAAACUGAAUUCUAUAAAAAAUAUUAUGUUUUGUUUUGUUUUAAAGUUAUUUGUUGU
rnacentral:lncRNA from 15 species